UCUAUAAUGGUGUAGUGGCUAACAUUAUUGCCUCUCAUAUGAAUACCAUGUUGAAAAGCGCGAUAGCCCAGGGUUUGAUUCCCUGUGAUGGAA